rnacentral:rRNA from 1 species
AACGAACGCUGGCGGCAUGCCUAACACAUGCAAGUCGAACGAGACCUUCGGGUCUAGUGGCGCACGGGUGCGUAACGCGUGGGAAUCUGCCCUUGGGUUCGGAAUAACUUCGGGAAACUGAAGCUAAUACCGGAUGAUGACGUAAGUCCAAAGAUUUAUCGCCCAAGGAUGAGCCCGCGUAGGAUUAGCUAGUUGGUGAGGUAAAAGGCUCACCAAGGCGACGAUCUUUAGCUGGUCUGAGAGGAUGAUCAGCCACACUGGGACUGAGACACGGCCCAGACUCCUACGGGAGGCAGCAGUGGGGAAUAUUGGACAAUGGGCGAAAGCCUGAUCCAGCAAUGCCGCGUGAGUGAUGAAGGCCUUAGGGUUGUAAAGCUCUUUUUACCAGGGAUGAUAAUGACAGACCUGGAGAAUAAGCUCCGGCUAAACUCCGUAGGCCCAGCAGCCGCGGAAUGUGACUACUG